AGCCACAGGAUGACAGAUAAAAAUGUGUCAAACCACAAAAAGGAAAAUUGAAGUUUAAGUUCUCUCUCAAUGUGGGAUUGUAAUUUUCUGGUUAAAAUGUACCGAGCUUACUUGAACUAUGGACCCUUACGAUUUGGCUUCCCAGCCUUUCCAAAUUUUAUUUUAUUAUCUAGCCUUUCUAUUUAUUUGAUUUAAGACAAUUAAUCAACGGUACUUUAACUUGAAAUUUUGAAUGUAUCGUUUAUCAUUAGCAUACAUAUGGAAGUCAAAAUAUCAUUGACUGAUUCAAAUCAAACAAAUUGAAACGUUGAUAGUAAGAUAAUUUUUUAAAAAAAAGCCAAAUAGCCGAUUUAAAAUCGUUCAGAGUUCAGAUAAGUUCUGUGCUCGUUUACCUAAUUUCCAUCACAUAUUUAUACAUAUUUUACCUAGCUAUAACCAAACAUCUCAAUAUUUAUUUCAUCUAAAAUUCCUUUUUCUUUUGCCAUUCUUUUUCUUAUAUUUUAAGUCUAAAACAUGCCAAUGAAUGGAAUUAACUAAACAUGCAACAAAAGCCACUUUUGAAAAAAAUAGUUAAAAUAAUGAACUUAACAAUGAAUUANACCCAACAAGUACAACCGUGCAAUUGAGCCCAACUCUAAAUUACAUAACACACUCUCUCUUUCAGACUUUCACUGUUGCACAUAACCCUAAAACAUGAUAACAUUCAAAUUUUCAAAUUCCUAAUUUUUUUUCCCCUCUCUCUCUCUCUAUCUCUAUGACCCUCACCCAGUCAGACAGUCACCCUAGCUCACAUUUCUUACAAUUAUUUUGUAUUUUGAACUAUUGAACAUGUUGCAUCAAAUUAUAGGUAAUGUUCUAUAAAAAUUAAACUAUUGAUUAUAUAAUGUCGAGAAUUUCAAUCGACUCGUUUAGAGCUCGAGCUCGGCUCGAUUCGAAAUUAGGCUCGCUCGAGCUCGGCUCGAAUUAAUUUCAAGCUGAGCUUGAGCCAAGAUUUAGGCUCGAAAUUAAUUUCAAGCCGAAUUUGAGCUGACAUAAGCUCGCUCGAGCUCGGCUCGUUUCCACCCCUAACCACAGGGUACUAAAGUGAAAAAGUGCGAAACCACAGGGUACUAAAGUAAGAAAGUGCGAAACCACAGGAGGUAUUUGAAGUUUCCCCAUAUAUAUAUAUAUAGAGAGAGAGAGAGAGAGAGAGUCCCGCUACUAUACUCUUAUAAGUACCAUCAAAAGCUCACAAAAUAGACAAUUUUUAACAGUCGGUGUAAAAGAAUUGGAAUAGGUUGAAUUUUUGAUAGAAAAUUCUAUUCACUACCUAGAUAAAGAUCAAUAACUCCGAUCAUAAAUUGAAGGCUUUGAUCAUCCAUUUUCUGGAUGUCGUUCGAUUUUGACUGUUCAUUUUAUACCCGCUUGAUAGACUUUAUAAUGAUUUCGAAAAAUUACGGAAUUUAUUUUUUAGAAGUUUUAAAUAUUCUAGAUUAUGUUUAACGGUGUGAAUUAUCAAUUCGGAAGCCACAACAUCGAAAAUAACUUAUGAGUACGAAGGGCUCUAUACUCAUAAAAGUAUAGUAGCCCUACUUUCUCUCUCUCUCUCUCUCUAUAUAU
rnacentral:lncRNA from 1 species